rnacentral:rRNA from 1 species
GACGAACGCUGGCGGCGUGCUUAACACAUGCAAGUCGAACGGAAAGGCCCUGCUUUUGUGUGGUUCUCGAGUGGCGAACGCGUGAGUAACACGUGAGUAUCCUGCCCUUGACUUUGGGGUAACUUCAGGAGACUGGGGCUAUUACCGGAUAGAAGCUCCUGCUGCAUGGUGGGGGUUGGAAAGUUUCGGCGGUUGGGGAUGGACUCGCGGGUUAUCCGCUUGUUGGUGGGGUAGGUGCUUACCAAGGCUUUGAAGGGUAGCCGGCCUGGGAGGGUGACCGGCGACAUGAGGACUGAGGGACGGCGCAGACGCCUACGGGAGGCAGCAGUGGGGAGUAUUGCACAAUGGGCGGAAGCGUGAUGCAGCAACGCCGCGUGCGGGAUGACGGCCUUCGGGUUGUAAACCGCUGUCGCCGGUGACGAAGCGUGAGUGACGGUAAUGGGUAAGGAAGCACCGGCUAACUACGUG